AGAUUAGUGGAUGAAACAAGACUAAAACCUGGUUACAGCGGCUAAAAAUUUCAGCCAGACAGGGGCACUUUAAAUAUUCAAACAAGGUCAGCGAGCACCCUUAGAAAACACAGGAAGUGCCUGCGGUUCCUUAGUUAUACCAGCAGGUGGAGCUCUCCCCCCACCUAUGAUCAAGGUACUCAGGCAAUGGAAACAAAAUUAAGUUUA
rnacentral:lncRNA from 1 species